ensembl:lncRNA novel transcript, antisense to TUBB4A
CCAUGACAACAAUUAAUUUAUUUAUUGAGGGUGAGGCAGGGAAGCGGGGAGGGAGGGUAGGGGUGACCUCUCUUCCUCACAGGCACCAGGCCUUGUUUCUCUCCCAGAUAAGCUAAGGUCGGCAGGGGCUGAGGGGAGUGAGGCAGGGAGGAUGCAUGGGGCCUGUGGGAAUCAGAGAGAAGCUGGGGUCAGAGGUAGGAGCUGGGGCUCAGGUGGGGGGUUAAAGGUGAGGCAAGGUCAGCGGUGAAGUGCAGCUCAGAGGGAGGGGUCAAACAUAAACCAGAACUUAUAGGUCU